rnacentral:sRNA from 1 species
CAAUGUGGUCCCGAAGCGACCAGCGCCGGGAGCUGCAGCGCUGAGACCCCCAGCCCGCCUGACCCAGCCCGCCCCCUCGGGCUCCCGGCCGGGGCCCCAUCAUGUUCUCCAGGAAGAAACGAGAGCUCAUGAAAACCCCUUCCAUCUCGAAAAAGAACCGCGCGGGAAGCCCCAGCCCGCAGCCCUCGGGGGUCCCCCGUCAUGCGUGCCCGGAAGAGCAGCUUCAACGUGAGUGAUGUGGCGGGGCCCGAGGCUGCCGGGAGCCCCCCAGAAGAAGGCGGGUGCAUUGAGGGCACACCUGUCAAGGGCCACAGGGGUGAGUGUCCGGCGGGGCCCAGGGGCGGACGCUGGCUCCCUGCGACCCACCCUGGUCCUUCACCAGAGACGCCUCUUUCUCCAGCCGGGCGAGGACACCAGGUUCACAAGUCAUGGCCGCUCUCGAUCUCAGACUCGGCCAGUGGGCUGGACCCCGGCCCUGGCGCAGGGGACUUUAAGAAGUUCGAGCGGACGUCAUCCAGUGGUACCAUGUCGUCCACGGAGGAGCUGGUGGACCCAGAGGGUGGAGCCGGGGCUUCAGCCUUUGAGCAGGCUGACCUCAACGGCAUGACCCCUGAGCUGCCGGUGGCCGUGCCCAGUGGACCGUUCCGCCACGAGGGGCU